rnacentral:rRNA from 1 species
AUUGAACGCUGGCGGCAUGCCUUACACAUGCAAGUCGAACGGCAGCACGGGUGCUUGCACCUGGUGGCGAGUGGCGAACGGGUGAGUAAUACAUCGGAACAUGUCCUGUAGUGGGGGAUAGCCCGGCGAAAGCCGGAUUAAUACCGCAUACGAUCUACGGAUGAAAGCGGGGGACCUUCGGGCCUCGCGCUAUAGGGUUGGCCGAUGGCUGAUUAGCUAGUUGGUGGGGUAAAGGCCUACCAAGGCGACAUCAGUAGCUGGUCUGAGAGGACGACCAGCCACACUGGGACUGAGACACGGCCCAGACUCCUACGGGAGGCAGCAGUGGGGAAUUUUGGACAAUGGGCGAAAGCCUGAUCCAGCAAUGCCGCGUGUGUGAAGAAGGCCUUCGGGUUGUAAAGCACUUUUGUCCGGAAAGAAAUCCUUGGCUCUAAUACAGUCGGGGGAUGACGGUACCGGAAGAAUAAGCACCGGCUAACUACGUGCCAGCAGCCGCGGUAAUACGUAGGGUGCAAGCGUAAUCGGAAUUACUGGGCGUAAAGCGUGCGCAGGCGGUUUGCUAAGACCGAUGUGAAAUCCCCGGGCUCAACCUGGGAACUGCAUUGGUGACUGGCAGGCUAGAGUAUGGCAGAGGGGGGUAGAAUUCCACGUGUAGCAGUGAAAUGCGUAGAGAUGUGGAGGAAUACCGAUGGCGAAGGCAGCCCCCUGGGCCAAUACUGACGCUCAUG